GCUAAGUUCGUGCAGGAGGCGGGGGGAGGAGGGACGUGGCGAACUGGGGUCGGAAUCACGGGGCUUAAAGGGCGCGUAGGCGGCUUCGCAAGGCCGGGGGGAAAGCCCCCAGGUCAACUGGGGAAGUGCCUCGGAUACUGCGGAGCUCGAGGGAGGUAGGGGCGGAUGGAACUUCCGGUGGAGCGGUGAAAUGCGUUGAUAUCGGAAGGAACGCCGGUGGCGAAAGCGAUCCGCUGGCCCUCUACUGACGCUGAGGCGCGAAAGCCAGGGGAGCAAACGGGAUUAGAUACCCGGGUAGUC
rnacentral:rRNA from 1 species